AUUGAACGCUGGCGGAAUGCUUUACACAUGCAAGUCGAACGGCAGCACGGACUUCGGUCUGGUGGCGAGUGGCGUACGGGUGAGUAAUGUAUCGGAACGUGCCCAGUCGUGGGGGAUAACGUAGUGAAAAUUACGCUAAUACCGCAUACGAUCUAUGGAUGAAAGCGGGGGAUCGCAAGACCUCGCGCGAUUGGAGCGGCCGAUAUCAGAUUAGGUAGUUGGUGGGGUAAAGGCCCACCAAGCCAACGAUCUGUAGCUGGUCUGAGAGGACGAUCAGCCACAUUGGAACUGAGACACGGUCCAGACUCCUACGGGAGGCAGCAGUGGGGAAUUUUGGACAAUGGGCGAAAGCCUGAUCCAGCCAUUCCGCGUGCAGGAUGAAGGCCCUCGGGUUGUAAACUGCUUUUGUACAGAACGAAAAGGUUUCUACUAAUACUAGGAGCUCAUGACGGUACUGUAAGAAUGAGCACCGGCUAACUACGUGCCAGCAGCCGCGGUAA
rnacentral:rRNA from 1 species